AAUGAGAUUUCAUUAUAUCAUUAAAAAUGAGGGCACAUGAGCUGUUUUCUCAGAUUCUAUAAUGUUAUCAAAAGAGGAAAGUAAAGCCACACACUUGGGUUUGGGAGUAACUGUAAGGCAACCAGACUCACAGGGCCCCACACCCUCCUGGCUGGGAAGAGGCAGCUCAGUGGGUGGGGGGGACACCACCAGGUCCUGCUGGUGGGAGAGUUAGACCCGCUGUGGCGUCUCAGGGGAAAUUGGCAGAUGGGACUGUAAACAUCUCAUGAGCUGCCUCUGAUCCAACGUGAGAAAUUAUUUGCAGACCCGAUGACAAGGAAAAGGGAAGGGAAAUAAAAGGUCCACCUCCUUCAGCCUCAUCUGUCCUUCCCCAGCAGAAGUAACGUGGGCUGCAACUGCACAGCAGCGGUGUUCGUGGCCAGUUCUAUGAGGGACUGCGUGGCUGUGUCCACGGGCCUUACACAGAUGCUGCUGCACGUUCUCCAGUGUCACCACAGGCCCCCCAUGUGUCGUGGAACCUCAUCGUUUAUAUAAACCAAGGUGAAAGGCCACAUCUAAAAAAAUACAGACAUUCCCAUGAAUCACCUUUAUGUGUGUAAUUUUUUUCUUUUUUUCAAUCCCAACCAUGAAAUGUUUAUAGGCACUUUUUCCAAACCCUAAUGUGGCCGCUUUGUAGAAGCCCGGCGGGAGGCCGAUUGUGUUUGAAUUGGUGUGUAGAGCUUCACCUUGCUUUGGUGUUCCCAUUCCUGCAAAGAAAUGACCCGGUGCUGGCUGGCUACUGCGUGCGGGUCGUGCGGGUCGUGGGCACUGGCGACGCUUCAUGGCCCCCACGUGCUCUGAUGGCCUCAGUCCCACUUUAAUCUUGCUCACAUGAGGUCCUGCCUGUGUCCUAAAGGCCAGGAGUAGUGAGUCUCCAUGUAAACCACCCUCACAAAGGAUCAGGAGCUACAAAUCCAACCAUCACCUUUCAUAGGAGAUAGCCUUUCUUUCUUCUUUUUGUUUGAAAGAAGAAAAAUCACGAUAUACCAGGUCUUUAUUUUUUAUGGUACAUUUUCUUGGUAAAAAUAUUCAUGAGGCUCAUUUAGUUUGAAAAUAGAUCAGUUAGUUUCCACCUGAAUUUUAGGAUUAAAAAUUAGAAAUAUUGAAGUAGAUUUGUUUUUGCCCUUAACAAAAAUACUUAUCAACUAAAUCCCAAUUUUAUGUAAAUAGAAUGCUACACCAGAGAAAUUGUGGUUAUUUCCCUUAUAUUUCUCUUCAUAAUUUGAAUUUUCAGCAUUCAACCUCAUUUUUAAUUGAAAAAAAGAAACACUCCAUUUAAAGUUUUGUCUUUGUAUUUAUAAGUUGUUUCUUUAACCAGUGGGUGGAACUAGCUGCCAAGCUUGAAGAAGAUGGCAAACUUUACAGAGUCAUUUUUGUCAUUAAAAACCCCACACAAGUGAAUCACAAUUUCCCAGUUAUUUCUGAGAGACCAGUCGGGAGCUGAAAACCAGGAUUACAGGCUUCAUUAGGGGAAAAAGACCUGCCGGGCCGUCUCGCAAUGGGAGAACAGCAACCCGUGCAAAGGGAGACUUUGAGGACAGGCAACGUGGGGGGACACAGUGCCUCUCCAUGUGGACCCAGGACUCAACCUAAAACAACCAGGGCAAGCACUCGGCGAGACGAGGAGGCCCCGGGACAGGGGCUGGCAGUGCACUGGUCCCCGAGGACCUUGUCUUACAGGGGAACUGGCGAAGUCCAGCUGCAAGGUUUUGAAGCCAAAUUCAUCUGAAUCUAAACCAGCUUGGUUUGGAGUCUCUCCUUAGGAGCCUGGAGUAGCAGCUCCGUCCUGAAGGUGGCUUUCUCAAAGAAACCGAUUGGAUUUUCCUCUCCACGUGGGACUUCUCUCAACCCAUGAGAAGUAAUUUGGACAGUGACCUAAAUAACUUGUGAGAUAAAGAAGGCAUGAUCGAAUCACCGUGGUAACUGCAGCGUGGCUUACAAAGGCAUCGAUCUCACAUGUGACACUUGCGUGUGGAACCACCCGGUUGACUUCUAGGAAGGAUGGCACCGCAGUCCCACCUGUGCCACUGGCGGUGAUGACAAACCAUUUUUGAUGGGUGAUUUAGUUUUCAUGGCGACGGCAUUCUCUAGUGUCUGAUUAGAGGAGCGGCUCAUUCUUCCUAUUUUCAAGUGGAAUAGAUUUUUGAGGAAGAUUUCAGCUCACCUGGGGGUUUGGAUCAGAAAAAUUCUGUGGCUUAUAAAGUCAUUUGUUCUUUUGCUGUGAUUGUAUUCACAGCAGAAGGGUGAGCGAAAGGUCAGCAAUAACUCUGCUGUUGCAUUUUAGCUGGAAAAAAUGUAAUAUUGAUCCAUAAGAAAAUGGAGAAGCUCAAGUGUGAGAGGCCUCACUUGAUCUUCUGCGACCUUUCCCCCGCCAUGUUGAUUUUACGCUUAAAUGUUAUGUCUCCUCUUUAAAAGGUUUGUCCUG